rnacentral:rRNA from 1 species
AGUGAACGCUGGCGGUAGGCCUAACACAUGCAAGUCGAACGGCAGCACAGAGGAGCUUGCUCCUUGGGUGGCGAGUGGCGGACGGGUGAGGAAUACAUCGGAAUCUACUCUGUCGUGGGGGAUAACGUAGGGAAACUUACGCAAAUACCGCAUACGACCUACGGGUGAAAGCAGGGGACCUUCGGGCCUUGCGCGAUUGAAUGAGCCGAUGUCGGAUUAGCUAGUUGGCGGGGUAAAGGCCCACCAAGGCGACGAUCCGUAGCUGGUCUGAGAGGAUGGUCAGCCACACUGGAACGGAGACACGGUCCAGACUCCUACGGGAGGCAGCAGUGGGGACUAUUGGACAAUGGGCGCAAGCCUGAUCCAGCCAUACCGCGUGGGUGAAGAAGGCCUUCGGGUUGUAAAGCCCUUUUGUUGGGAAAGAAAUCCAGCUGGCUAAUACCCGGUUGGGAUGACGGUACCCAAAGAAUAAGCACCGGCUAACUUCGUGCCAGCAGCCGCCGCAG